rnacentral:rRNA from 1 species
AACUAACGCUGGCGGCGUGCCUAACACAUGCAAGUCGAGCGGUCACCACUUUGUAGCAAUACAGAUGAAGUGAUAGCGGCAGACGGGUGAGUAACACGUAGGCAAUCUACCUUUCCGUUCGGGAUAACUAGCCGAAAGGUUAGCUAAUACCUGAUACGAUCACCGGGUGGCAUCACUUGGUGAUGAAAGCAGCAAUGCGCGGAUUGAGGAGCCUGCGGCCCAUUAGCUAGUUGGUGAGGGUAACGGCCCACCAAGGCGACGAUGGGUAGC